UGCUCCUGCACCUCGAAAAGCAGCUUAUGAUCCAUACAUCGAGAGUAUCAUCAGCUCUGAUGAUGAAGAAACACCAACUUUAGAUGUGGCUGCUCGAACGAGCACGUCACAUACUUUAGUUAUUUCAGAAAAACCAGUUGAAGGGGAGGAAUCGUCGCCUCCUCAACAAAAUGUUGAUACAUCUACUCCUUCGAGCCCCCGUGCCCCUUCACCAAAAAGGGCACGGGUUGAAAAGAUUGUUGAUCCUGCCCCUCAGUUGGGCAGUUCGUCGCCCCCGCUCCUAGAUGAUCCUAUGAUCAAGGAUCUUCUCCGCAUCGGUUCCCAAUUUAUUGGGUACCGUGAAUAUGCUAAUAGAGCCGAAGGU